AAAAGAAAAAAGUAGUUCAGGGGAUAUGAGCCUCAGGGACAAGAAGAGAAUUGGAAAAAGGUUGAAAGUUACAUCUCUGCACCUCUAUGAAGGCAGCAUUUUCCUCUUAGGAGAGCAGCAGUGAAUGAUAGAUCUGGCCCCAUAACUUCCCACACCUUACAGGGAAGAGUGGCUAUAGAGCGAAACGAGACUGGCAGCAGGGAAAAACAUGGCACGGUUGGGCAUGAUGAGCCAUAACUCUCCUUGCACAUGAGAAGCUGGGGAGCAUAAAAUGACUUUCUGACCCUGCCCUACUGUUGCUGCAACCGAAAUGCAAAGGGAAGAGAGAACCUUUGCCCCGAGGACUGAUUUUCUGCUUCCUCUUGCAGAGCAAUAACCUCAGGUGCACUGCCUCGGGUCAGGCUCUGAUAAACUAGCUGGGGGAGGCAGGGGCAGGAGCAGGGGGAGGUCAAGGACCAGCAGUGCCGGUGCAGGGACCCUUGUGGCCCAUCUCCUGACCGUGGCCGGGGCCAGUGGCGAGGCCAGUGUCCUAUCUGCUCAGGCUCACACAGCGCUCAUAGGCCGGCGGCGCCCAGCGGGACAUGGCGCCAGGCCGCGCCAGGCCGCGGGGGGACUCAUGUUGGCAGGAGGCAACCCUCUCAGGAGGAGGGGGACCGUGGAUGUGUGUCAGAAGGUUGUGGAGCUGGUGAUGCCCUUUCCUAAGGCGGCAACGAGCCGCACGGCAGCCCCGGCACCUCCUGGCACCACAGCGAGCCCAGCCCUGGGCAGGCUCAGGAGAUGGAGAGGGCACCGAGGCAGCAGGCACAGGACGGGGAGUUUGAGGCCACGCUGCCCAGCAGGGAGCAGCAUCCAUCUCGGCAGUAAGGACAGCUUUGAUCCCCUGCAAAAGUAAGACGCUCAAGGGACGGUUUCUCCGGCAGCAAAUCCAAUGAUCCCCAGACUUCAGGGACUCAUCUGUCUUCACGCAGUUUUCCCAGACAGCUCCAUGCAAAUGUUUAAUACUAGGCAAGGACGACCUAAUUCCUUUUACUUGCCAGUAGGAGCAGUUUUGUUCUUCCAGGAUAGCUGUAAAAGGCAGUGACAAACACAAAUACUCACCCUGCAAAGAAAUGUACUGUUACCAUCUCUCCAAAACAAGGGGCACGGGUAACGCUCUGGGAUACCCUUUGAGCUUUCUCACAGCCUACUCCUGAAGAGGCUGUGUUCUACCUAUGUUUGCAUCCCAUAUCACUGCUUAUUGCCUUUUACAUAUUCCCUACUCACUGCCUGUCUAGCCUGAUCCCUCCAGAAGGACUGGCUUGAAAACAUCUGCAAGAACUCAGCAGGGAACAUGUAGUUGCAGCCCCCUUCUGGGGCCCAAGCACAGCUCGUGACCACAUAUUGAGAGUUUACCUUGCUUUGAACAACAGUUGCCUCGUGCCCAUUGCCUGAAAACUCAAUGGCCUCUUUAUUAGUCUCGUUGUGUGCUGUUCCUAAAGGGUGUUCAGCUUUUAUAGGAUGGCUGGGGGCCCUGGCCCAUUAACAAAAUGCUGUGAACAUAAAUACCAAGUUAGUGUACAGUUCUGCACCUUUCAUUUAUUUUUUGCUUCCUUAUUAUUUCUUUCUGAAGCUUAACAGCUUUUCAAGAUGUGCAAAUCUG
ensembl:lncRNA